UGUAAGCGUAUAUUAAAGUUGUUGCAGUUAAAAAGCUCGUAGUUGGAUUUCUGGUGGGAGCGAUCGGUCUGGCGCUUAGCGCGAGUACUUGCAUCGUCUCCGGCCAUCCUUGGGGAGAGUCUGUCUGGCAUUAGGUUGUCGGGCAGAGGAUCCUCAUCGUUUACUGUGAAAAAAUUAGAGUGUUCAAAGCAGGCUUAUGCCGUUGAAUAUAUUAGCAUGGAAUAAUAAGAUAGGACUUUGGUACUAUUUUGUUGGUUUGCGCACCAAAGUAAUGAUUAAUAGGGACAGUUGGGGGUAUUCGUAUUCCGUUGUCAGAGGUGAAAUUCUUGGAUUUACGGAAGACGAACUACUGCGAAAGCAUUUACCAAGGAUGUUUUCAUUAA
rnacentral:rRNA from 1 species